GUGAGUGAAAGAGGUUUGUUUGAAACAGACCGCCAUGGAGAGAUCAGCGCCCAGGGAAGCGAAAGAACAACAGGCUCCUUCCAGCAGCACAUCGGGAUGGGAGACUGGGACACAGAGGGGGCUCCGAGACCGGGAUUGAUUCGGGCUGCAUUAUCCUCCGUCUUCCUCCAAGCAACUAUUUGAAUGAUGAAGACAAUGUCAUAUUUUCUCAGUACAAGGCCAAGUGUGACCAGCUGCUUCUAACAAACAGCAGGCAAAUACUUGAAGGAUCAAGACAAUGUAAUAUUCCCUCGGUACAGAGCCAAGUGUGACCAGCUGCUCCUAACAAACAGCAGGUAUGUUAAUGCUGUCAGAGUGAAGACCAUUCUUUCCACUGUUAGAGCGAAUUGAGUCAGCUACACAUUGAGCUCAGUUUGAGAUAAAGAUGUUCAAACAAUUGAGAAAAUAUCAGUUUGUUUCUUU